rnacentral:rRNA from 1 species
UAGCCUACGGGACGCAGCAGUGAGGAAUAUUGGUCAAUGGGCGAGAGCCUGAACCAGCCAAGUCGCGUGAAGGAUGACGGCCCUACGGGUUGUAAACUUCUUUUGUCAGGGAGCAAUUGGGUCCACGCGUGGGCUUAGCGAGAGUACCUGAAGAAAAAGCAUCGGCUAACUCCGUGCCAGCAGCCGCGGUAAUACGGAGGAUGCGAGCGUUAUCCGGAUUUACUGGGGGUAAAGGGAGCGGAGACGGCAGCGCAAGUCUGGAGUGAAAUGCCGGGGCUCAACCCCGGAACUGCUUUGGAAACUGG